rnacentral:tRNA from 1 species
GGUCCAAUAGUCUAGUUGGUUAGGACGUCGGAUUCUGAACUAGAGAAUUCCGUAAGCCCAGGUUCGAAUCCUGGUUGGACCU